GACGAACGCUGGCGGCGUGCCUAAUACAUGCAAGUAGAACGCUGAAGAGAGGAGCUUGCUCUUCUUGGAUGAGUUGCGAACGGGUGAGUAACGCGUAGGUAACCUGCCUUGUAGCGGGGGAUAACUAUUGGAAACGAUAGCUAAUACCGCAUAACAAUGGAUGACACAUGUCAUUUAUAUGAAAGGGGCAAUUGCUCCACUACAAGAUGGACCUGCGUUGUAUUAGCUAGUAGGUGAGGUAAUGGCUCACCUAGGCGACGAUACGUAGCCGACCUGAGAGGGUGAUCGGCCACACUGGGACUGAGACACGGCCCAGACUCCUACGGGAGGCAGCAGUAGGGAAUCUUCGGCAAUGGGGGCAACCCUGACCGAGCAACGCCGCGUGAGUGAAGAAGGUUUUCGGCUCGUAAAGCUCUGUUGUAAGUCAAGAACGGAUGUGAGAGUGGAAAGUUCACUCUGUGGCGGUAGCUUACCAGAAAGGUACGGCUAACUACGUG
rnacentral:rRNA from 1 species